rnacentral:lncRNA from 1 species
UGCGCGAAAAGAAGUGCCUGCUAAAAAAGUGUCCAUGCCGUUUCUAAAAGACGGAGAAAUCCUCCGAAGAGCAGGGAGAUCAAAGGAAAUACUUGAGAUGAACAAAAAUAAAUCAAAUACAACUUUGCAUGACGAAAUUGAAGAAAUGGUAAUAGACACAAAGGGGAGUACUGACAGUAUAACAUGGAAAGACGGAAGACGAAUUGUGGAGCUUUUUAGUCUGGCACUGAAUAACUGCCAAAACUGCACGGCCCAGCGGAAUCUGCUCAACAUAGAGAGAGAAAAAUUGCAAGGAUGUGGGGUCUAUCUUACUAUUCGUUGCUUAAACUGUAACAUGCUGAAUAACAUUUUAACAAAUAAGACACAAUUCGGAACAAAAGGACCUGCAAUAGCUAACUAUGAGUAUUGAUAGCUGCUUAACGUCCAGCGGCAAAUAUUUAAUUGCACAUUUAUGACAUCCAAAUGUUAUUUUAAUGAAACUUAAAGAAAUG